GCCUAACACAUGCAAGUCGAGCGGCAGCGAGACUAGUAGCAAUACUAGUUGUCGGCGAGCGGCGGACGGGUGAGUAACACGUAGGAAUCUGCCCUUAAGCGGGGGAUAACCAAGGGAAACUUUGGCUAAUACCGCAUAAUCUCGAGAGGGCAAAGCUGCCCGCAAGGGUGGCACUUGAGGAGGAGCCUGCGUCCGAUUAGCUAGUUGGUGGGGUAAUGGCCUACCAAGGCGAUGAUCGGUAACUGGUCUGAGAGGACGACCAGUCACACUGGGACUGAGACACGGCCCAGACUCCUACGGGAGGCAGCAGUGGGGAAUUUUCCGCAAUGGGCGAAAGCCUGACGGAGCAAUGCCGCGUGAAGGAAGACAGCUUACGGGUUGUAAACUUCUUUUCUCAGAAAAGAAAAAAAUGACGGUAUCUGAGGAAUAAGCAUCGGCUAACUCUGUGCCAGCCGCCGCGGUAAAAC
rnacentral:rRNA from 1 species